UACGUAGGGGGCUAGCGUUGUCCGGAUUUAUUGGGCGUAAAGAGCGUGUAGGCGGCCAGGUAGGUCUGGUGUGAAAACUCGAGGCUUAACCUCGAGAUGUCAUCGGAAACCAUCUGGCUAGAGUCCGGAAGAGGAGAGUGGAAUUCCUGGUGUAGCGGUGAAAUGCGCAGAUAUCAGGAAGAACACCUAUGGCGAAGGCAGCUCUCUGGGACGGUACUGACGCUGAGACGCGAAAGCGUGGGAGCGAACAGG
rnacentral:rRNA from 1 species